rnacentral:rRNA from 1 species
CGCUCUUCCGAUCUGGUUAUUCGUAACCUCGGGGGGCGGGCGGCGGGGGUCUGGGGACCCUCCGUGCAGGUAGGCAAGCGUAUUAACAGGGGUGACGCGCAGUGGUGGCCCCGCGGGUCUGAUGGCUCGGCCCGUUCAAGCGCGCAGCCCGCCGCCCAGGCAAAUCCGGGCGGCUGCCUUCAAUGGCGGGGGUGAGGCGUGACGGUGACCCGGCCCGGUGGGGUCGGGGAAGCAGGGUGAUCCUGUGGCGCCUAGAAAAGCCUCGACGCGAGGGGCCGGUCCGCCCGUACCCCAAACCGACACAGGUGGUCGGGCAGAGUAUGCCCAGGCGCACGAGCGAACCGUGGUGAAGGAACUCGGCAAAACGCCCCCGUAACUUCGGGAGAAGGGGGGCCCGAACCCUGAAACGGCCAGCCCGUUGGGGGUGAGGGUCGCAGAGGCCAGGGGGGAGCGACUGUUUACUAAAAACACAGGUCCGUGCGAAGCCGCAAGGCGAUGUAUACGGACUGACGCCUGCCCGGUGCUGGAAGGUCAAGAGGACCCGUCAACCCCCCGUGGGUGAAGCGGUGAAUUCAAGCCCCAGUGAACGGCGGUGGUAACUAUAACCAUCCUAAGGUAGCGAAAUUCCUUGUCGGGUAAGUUCCGACCUGCACGAAUGGCGUAACGACUUCCCCGCUGUCUCCACCACGGGCUCGGCGAAAUUGCAGUACGAGUAAAGAUGCUCGUUACGCGCAGAAGGACGGAAAGACCCCGGGACCUUCACUGCAGCUUGGUAUUGGCGCCCGGUUCGGCUCGUGCAGGAUAGGUGGGAGACUAUGAGGCCGCCGCGUCAGCGGCGGCGGAGUCAUCGUUGAGAUACCACUCCGGCCGUGUCGUGCGCCUGAACCCGGGCCCGUGAUCCGGGUCGGGGACAGUGCCUGGCGGGUAGUUCAACUGGGGCGGUUGCCUCCCAAAGAGUAACGGAGGCGCUCAAAGGUCCCCUCAGCCUGGUCGGCAACCAGGUGUCGAGUGCAAGUGCACAAGGGGGCUCGACUGCGAGACCGACAGGUCGAGCAGGUGCGAAAGCAGGAACUAGUGAUCCGGCGAUCCCGCGUGGGCGGGUCGUCGCUCAACGGAUAAAAGGUACCCCGGGGAUAACAGGCUGAUCCUGCCCAAGAGUCCAUAUCGACGGCAUGGUUUGGCACCUCGAUGUCGGCUCGUCGCAUCCUGGGGCUGGAGCAGGUCCCAAGGGUUGGGCUGUUCGCCCAUUAAAGCGGUACGCGAGCUGGGUUUAGAACGUCGUGAGACAGUUCGGUCCCUAUCCUCUGCGCGCGCAGGAGACCCGAGGAGACCCAUCCCCAGUACGAGAGGACCAGGACGGACGAACCUCUAGUACGCCAGUUGUCCCGCCAGGAGCACCGCUGGUUAGCCACGUUCGGAACGGAUAACCGCUGAAAGCAUCUAAGCGGGAAACCACCUCCAAGACCAAGUCUCCACACAACCCCCAACCGGGGUUGCGGAAGGCCCCCAGCAGACCACUGGGUAGAUAGGCCGGAGGUGCACACCCGGCAACGGGCUCAGCCAACCGGUACUAAUAGGCCAACACGAACCACACA